rnacentral:rRNA from 1 species
GAUGAACGCUAGCUACAGGCUUAACACAUGCAAGUCGAGGGGUAACAAGAGAAAAGCUUGCUUUUCUUGUUGACGACCGGCGCACGGGUGAGUAACGCGUAUCCAACCUGCCUAUAACUAGGGAAUAACCUUGCGAAAGUAAGACUAAUACCCUAUGAUUUCCUUUGAUGGCAUCAGAUUAGGAAUAAAGAUUUAUCGGUUAUAGAUGGGGAUGCGUCUGAUUAGCUUGUUGGCGGGGUAACGGCCCACCAAGGCAACGAUCAGUAGGGGUUUUGGGAGGAAGGUCCCCCACAUGGGAACUGAGACACGGUCCAAACUCCUACGGGAGGCAGCAGUGAGGAAGAUUGGUCAAUGGGCGGAAGCCUGAACCAGCCAAGUAGCGUGCAGGAUGACGGCCCUAUGGGUUGUAAACUGCUUUUAUACAGGAAUAAAGUUAGCCACGUGUGGUUAUUUGUAGGUACUGUAUGAAUAAGGACCGGCUAAUUCCGUGCCAGCAGCCGCAGUAA